CUUUGGGGCUGGCCCUACAUCUGUGCACACAUGCACGCACACAUAUUCACACAUGCAUUCACAUACGCACACAUGCACAAGCAUGCACACAAAAUCACACGCAUCUAUACUCAUUCAAACACACGCAUGUGCACGCUGACACAUUCACAUACACACACUUCCAUAGAUACACCCACAAACUCUCAGACACAUGCAUGCGUGCGCGCGCGCACACACAUGCACAAGCACACAAUCACACACAUAUAUACACAUUCCCACACAUGUCCACACACUUUUACAGAUACAUGCUCAAACUCUCAGACACACAUGCAUGGGCACACACACAUGCACCCAAAUGUACACAAGCAUGCACACAAGCACAAAGACAUACACACAUUCACACACAUGCACACACUGACACAUGCAGAAACUCAGACACUUACAUGUGGGCACACACAAGCAUGCAUAGGCAAACAAGCAUGCAUACUCACAUUCACAGAAAUGUGCACACUGACACACACACACACACACUUUCACAGACACACAAAUGUGUGGACACACACACAUGCACAUGCAUGCAUGCACGCAAAAUCACAUACAUACAUAUAUAUAUACAUUCACAUACAUUUGCACAUGCUGACACAUAAACACCCACUCUCAAAACCACACAUGCACAUGCAUGCACACACAAUCACAUACAUAGAUACACAUUCACAUAUUUGCACACACUGACACACUCAUACACACAGUCAGACACACACACCUCCACCGGUGCCGCGGGUCGCUCUGUCCACUGCCCUCAUCCCCCCUCCCCGUGCGUUUCAGCUGUGGCCGCCAUCCCGGCCAGCCAGCGCCUGGGGGCCGGCGGCGCCUGCGGGCAGCUGUGCCGGCGGCCCCGGCCCGGGCGGGCUGGCUGGGAGCGGGGCGGUCCGGGUCUGCGGGGGGGCGGGGGGAGUGCAUGUGUCUCCGUGCGCGCCGGAUGGCUGCGUGCCCGGGCUGCCGCUGUGUGCGUCCGUGUGCGUGUGCCUCCG
rnacentral:lncRNA from 1 species